ACGCCCUUGGUCCCCUACGGAUCGGAGAUGGUCGGGCUUACAUCAAAUAAUAAAGACUUCUCAGAAUAUUGGUAACCUUGGAAAGGAUGUGAAGGUGGAUUAUUGAAACCUACAUCAAAUGCAUCAGCUUCAUCAGCAAUGUUUCUAGGUUCCAAACCCC